rnacentral:rRNA from 1 species
GGUCAGGACGAACGCUGGCGGCGUGCCUAACACAUGCAAGUCGAACGGAGUCAAGAAGCUUGCUUUUGACUUAGUGGCGGACGGGUGAGUAACGCGUGAGUAACCUGCCUCUGAGAGGGGAAUAACGUUCUGAAAAGAACGCUAAUACCGCAUAAAGUAUCGAAGCCGCAUGACUUUGAUACCAAAGAAUUUAUCGCUCGGAGAUGGACUCGCGUCCGAUUAGUUAGUUGGUGAGGUAACGGCUCACCAAGACCGCGAUCGGUAGCCGGACUGAGAGGUUGAUCGGCCACAUUGGGACUGAGACACGGCCCAGACUCCUACGGGAGGCAGCAGUGGGGGAUAUUGCGCAAUGGGGGCAACCCUGACGCAGCAACGCCGCGUGAAGGAUGAAGGUUUUCGGAUUGUAAACUUCUUUUAUCAGGGACGAAGCUUGACGGUACCUGAUGAAUAAGCUCCGGCUAACUACGUGCCAGCAGCCGC